rnacentral:rRNA from 1 species
UUUAAGCCAUGCGAGUCAUUGUAGCAAUACAAGGCAGACGGCUCAGUAACGCGUAGUCAAUCUACCCUAUGGACGGGAAUAACCUCGGGAAACUAAGAAUAAUGCCCGAUAGAACAUUAUGCCUGGAAUGGUUUAUGUUUCAAAUGAUUUAUCGCCAUAGGAUGGGACUGCGGCCUAUCAGUUUGUUGGUGAGGUAAUGGCCCACCAAGACUAUUACAGGUACGGGCUCUGAGAGGAGUAGCCCGGAGAUGGGUACUGAGACACGGACCCAGGCCCUAUGGGGCGCAGCAGGCGAGAAAACUUUGCAAUGUGCGAAAGCACGACAAGGUUAAUCCGAGUGGUUUCUGCUAAAGAAACCUUUUGUCAGUCCUAAAAACACUGACGAAUAAGGGGUGGGCAAGUUCUGGUGUCAGCCGCCGCGGUAAAACCAGCACCUCAAGUGGUCAGGAUGAUUAUUGGGCCUAAAGCAUCCGUAGCUCGUUUUGUAAGUUUUCGGUUAAAUCCAUGCGCUUAACGUAUGGGCUGCCGGGAAUACUGCAUAACUAGGAAGUGGGAGAGGUAGACGGUACUCGGUAGGAAGGGGUAAAAUCCUUUGAUCUAUUGAUGACCACCUGUGGCGAAGGCGGUCUACCAGAACACGUUCGACGGUGAGGGAUGAAAGCUGGGGGAGCAAACCGGAUUAGAUACCCGGGUAGUCCCAGCUGUAAACUAUGCAAACUCAGUGAUGCAUUGGCUUGUGGCCAAUGCAGUGCUGCAGGGAAGCCGUUAAGUUUGCCGCCUGGGAAGUACGUACGCAAGUAUGAAACUUAAAGGAAUUGGCGGGGGAGCACCACAAGGGGUGAAGCCUGCGGUUCAAUUGGAGUCAACGCCAGAAAUCUUACCCGGAGAGACAGCAGAAUGAAGGUCAAGCUGAAGACUUUACCAGACAAGCUGAGAGGUGGUGCAUGGCC